CCUACGGGAGGCAGCAGUGAGGAAUAUUGGUCAAUGGGAGAGAUCCUGAACCAGCCAAGCCGCGUGAGGGAAGACGGCCCUAUGGGUUGUAAACCUCUUUUGUCGGAGAACAAAACCCGGGACGUGUCCCGGACUGCGUGUAUCCGAAGAAAAAGCAUCGGCUAGCUCCGUGCCAGCAGCCGCGGUAAUACGGAGGAUGCGAGCGUUAUCCGGAUUUAUUGGGUUUAAAGGGUGCGUAGGCGGUCCGUUAAGUCAGCGGGAAAAUUGCGGGGCUCAACCCCGUCGAGCCGUUGAAACUGGCAGACUUGAGUUGGCGAGAAGUACGCGGAAUGCGCGGUGUAGCGGUGAAAUGCAUAGAUAUCGCGCAGAACUCCGAUUGCGAAGGCAGCGUACCGGCGCCAGACUGACGCUGAGGCACGAAAGCGUGGGGAUCGAACAGGAUUAGAUACCCCAGUAGUC
rnacentral:rRNA from 1 species